rnacentral:rRNA from 1 species
GUGGGGAAUCUUAGACAAUGGGCGCAAGCCUGAUCUAGCCAUGCCGCGUGAGCGAUGAAGGCCUUAGGGUUGUAAAGCUCUUUCAGCUGGGAAGAUAAUGACGGUACCAGCAGAAGAAGCCCCGGCUAACUCCGUGCCAGCAGCCGCGGUAAUACGGAGGGGGCUAGCGUUGUUCGGAAUUACUGGGCGUAAAGCGCACGUAGGCGGAUCAGAAAGUCAGAGGUGAAAUCCCAGGGCUCAACCUUGGAACUGCCUUUGAAACUCCUGAUCUUGAGGUCGAGAGAGGUGAGUGGAAUUCCGAGUGUAGAGGUGAAAUUCGUAGAUAUUCGGAGGAACACCAGUGGCGAAGGCGGCUCACUGGCUCGAUACUGACGCUGAGGUGCGAAAGCGUGGGGAGCAAACAGGAUUAGAAACCCUGGUAGUCC